rnacentral:tRNA from 1 species
GAGAAUGUAGCUUAGUGGUAGAGUGCUUGCCUCAAAUGCAUGAGGCCCUGGGUUCACUUUCUUA